UUGGGAAUGCAGCUCAAAACGGGUGGUAAAUGCCAUCUAAAGCUAAAUAUUGGCGAGAGACCGAUAGCGAACAAGUACCGUGAGGGAAAGAUGAAAAGAACUUUGGAAAGAGAGUUAAACAGUACGUGAAAUUGCUGAAAGGGAAACGCUUGAAGUCAGUCGCGUUGGCUAGAAAUCAGCCUUGCUUUUGCUUGGUGUACUUUCUGGUUUUUUUCAACGGGUCAGCAUCAAUUUUGACCAUUGGAUAAAGUCUUUGGGAAUGUGGCAUCUUUUGGAUGUGUUAUAGCCCAUCGUCGCAUGCAGUGGUUGGGAUUGAGGAACUCAGCACGCCUGCAAAGGCCGGGUUUCGACCACGCUUCCGUGCUUAGGAUGCUGGCAUAAUGGCUUUAAUCGACCCGUCUUGAAACACGGACCAAGGAGUCUAACAUGCCUGCGAGUGUUUGGGUGGAAAACCCAUGCGCGAAAUGAAAGUGAAAGUUGAGAUCCCUCUCAGGGGGGAGCAUUGACGCCNGGACCAGACCUUUUGUGACGGAUCCGCGGUAGAGCAUGUAUGUUGGGACCCGAAAGAUGGUGAACUAUGCCUGAAUAGGGUGAAGCCAGAGGAAACUCUGGUGGAGGCUCGUAGCGAUUCUGACGUGCAAAUCGAUCGUCAAAUUUGGGUAUAGGGGCGAAAGACUAAU
rnacentral:rRNA from 1 species